rnacentral:SRP_RNA from 1 species
GCCGGGCACAGUGGCGCGUACCUGUAGUCCCAGCUACUCUGGGAGGCUGAGGUGGGAGGAUCGCUUGAGCCCAGGAGUUCUAGGCUGUAGUGCACUAUGCCGAUUGGGUGUCCGCACUGAGUUCGGCAUCAGUAUGGUGACGUCCCGGGAGUAGGGGACCACCAGGUUGCCCAAGGAGGGGUGAACCGGCCCAGGUCAGAAACAGGGAAGGUCAAAACUCCCUUGCUGAUCAGUAGUGGGAUCGCACCUGUGAAUAGCCACUGCACUCCAGCCUGGGCAGCAUAGCGAGACCUUGUCUCU